GAUUAGUGGCGAACGGGUGAGUAACACGUGGGCAAUCUGCCCUGCACUCUGGGACAAGCCCUGGAAACGGGGUCUAAUACCGGAUACUGAUCCGUCUGGGCAUCCAGACGGUUCGAAAGCUCCGGCGGUGCAGGAUGAGCCCGCGGCCUAUCAGCUUGUUGGUGAGGUAGUGGCUCACCAAGGCGACGACGGGUAGCCGGCCUGAGAGGGCGACCGGCCACACUGGGACUGAGACACGGCCCAGACUCCUACGGGAGGCAGCAGUGGGGAAUAUUGCACAAUGGGCGAAAGCCUGAUGCAGCGACGCCGCGUGAGGGAUGACGGCCUUCGGGUUGUAAACCUCUUUCAGCAGGGAAGAAGCGAAAGUGACGGUACCUGCAGAAGAAGCGCCGGCUAACUACGUGCCAGCAGCCGCGGUAAUACGUAGGGCGCGAGCGUUGUCCGGAAUUAUUGGGCGUAAAGAGCUCGUAGGCGGCUUGUCACGUCGGUUGUGAAAGCCCGGGGCUUAACCCCGGGUCUGCAGUCGAUACGGGCAGGCUAGAGUUCGGUAGGGGAGAUCGGAAUUCCUGGUGUAGCGGUGAAAUGCGCAGAUAUCAGGAGGAACACCGGUGGCGAAGGCGGAUCUCUGGGCCGAUACUGACGCUGAGGAGCGAAAGCGUGGGGAGCGAACAGGAUUAGAUACCCUGGUAGUCCACGCCGU
rnacentral:rRNA from 1 species